UACGUAGGGGGCUAGCGUUGUCCGGAAUCAUUGGGCGUAAAGCGCGUGUAGGCGGUCCGGUAAGUCCGCUGUGAAAGUCCAGGGCUCAACCCUGGGAUGCCGGUGGAUACUGUCGGGCUCGAGUCCGGAAGAGGAGUGUGGAAUUCCUGGUGUAGCGGUGAAAUGCGCAGAUAUCAGGAAGAAUAUCCGUGGCGAAGGCGGCUCUCUGGGACGGUACUGACGCUGAGACGCGAAAGCGUGGGGAGCGAACAGG
rnacentral:rRNA from 1 species